GGAAGGUUAGGUCAGGAAGCCGCGGGAAUACGUGGGGUGAUAGCGGUGGGCCGAAGUGUUUGGCGUGAAGGGCUUGUAGGGGGCUGGGGGCGGCGGCCGUGAAAAGCCGGGGCUCAACCUCGGGCGGGCGGUGGGUACGGGCAGGCUAGAGGGUGGUAGGGGAGACUGGAACUCCUGGUGUAGCGGUGAGAUGCGCAGAUAUCAGGAAGAACACCGAUGGCGAAGGCAGGUCUCUGGGCCAUUACUGACACUGAGAAGCGAAAGCAUGGGGAGCGAACAGGAUUAGAUACCCCAGUAGUC
rnacentral:rRNA from 1 species